rnacentral:rRNA from 1 species
CCUACGGGAGGCAGCAGUAGGGAAUCUUGCACAAUGGGCGAAAGCCUGAUGCAGCAACGCCGCGUGAAGGAUGAAGGCCUUCGGGUUGUAAACUUCUGUUCUAAGGGAAGAAACAAAUGACGGUACCUUAGGAGCAAGCCCCGGCUAACUACGUGCCAGCAGCCGCGGUAAUACGUAGGGGGCAAGCGUUAUCCGGAAUUAUUGGGCGUAAAGAGUGCGUAGGUGGUUACCUAAGCGCAAGGUUUAAUUUAGAGGCUCAACCUCUACUUGCCUUGCGAACUGGGCUACUUGAGUGCAGGAGGGGAAAGCGGAAUUCCUAGUGUAGCGGUGAAAUGCGUAGAUAUUAGGAGGAACACCAGCGGCGAAGGCGGCUUUCUGGACUGUAACUGACACUGAGGCACGAAAGCGUGGGUAGCAAACAGGAUUAGAUACCCCAGUAG